AUUGAACGCUGGCGGCAUGCCUUACACAUGCAAGUCGAACGGCAGCACGGACUUCGGUCUGGUGGCGAGUGGCGAACGGGUGAGUAAUGCCUCGGAACGUACCAUUGAGUGGGGGAUAACGUAGCGAACGUUACGAUAAUACCGCAUAAUCUCCCCGGAGGAAAGCAGGGGCUCGUAAGAACUUGUGCUCUUUGAGCGGCCGAUGUCGGAUUAGCUAGUUGGUGAGGUAAAGGCUCAUCAAGGCUACGAUCCGUAGCGGGUAUGAGAGGAUGAUACGCCACACUGGGACUGAGACACGGCCCAGACUCCUACGGGAGGCAGCAGUGGGAAAUUUUGGACAAUGGGGGCAACCCUGAUCCAGCCAUGCCGCGUGAGUGAAGAAGGCCUUCGGGUUGUAAAGCUCUUUCAGCCGGGAAGAAAACGCAUGGGUUAAUACCCUGUGUGGAUGACGGUACCGGAAUAAGAAGCACCGGCUAACUACGUGCCAGCCGCCGCAGUAA
rnacentral:rRNA from 1 species